GAUGAAGAACGUAGCGAAGUGCGAUAAGUAAUGUGAAUUGCAGAAUUCCGUGAAUCAUCGAAUCUUUGAACGCAUAUUGCACCCUCUGGUAUUCCAGAGAGUAUGCCUGUUUGAGGGUCAGUUAAAUAAAAAUCGGUUUUGUUGCUGCUUUUUUGUGGUGACAUUCCGGAAUUGGGUCGUCUUUACCUUUUGGUUAUAAGUGACCUAAAAUUUUACUUGAUUUUCGAACGUAUUUAAAUAUUUACUUACGUUUGUAAUAUCCGAAUAUUAGAUGUGAUCAUUUUCCAUGAUUCGCGUCCAUAAUUUUUCAUCUAAUGACCUCAAAUCAGGUAAGAGUACCCGCUGAACUUAAGCAUAUCAAUAAGCGGAGGA
rnacentral:misc_RNA from 1 species